UACGAAGGGGGCUAGCGUUGCUCGGAAUCACUGGGCGUAAAGCGCACGUAGGCGGAUUGCUAAGUCAGGGGUGAAAUCCUGGAGCUCAACUCCAGAACUGCCUUUGAUACUGGCAAUCUCGAGUCCGGGAGAGGUGAGUGGAACUGCGAGUGUAGAGGUGAAAUUCGUAGAUAUUCGCAAGAACACCAGUGGCGAAGGCGGCUCACUGGCCCGGUACUGACGCUCAUGCACGAAAGCGUGGGGAGCAAACAGG
rnacentral:rRNA from 1 species